rnacentral:tRNA from 1 species
CAAAGUGUAGCGCAGUCCGGUUAGCGCAUCCGUUUUGGGUACAGAGGGCCUCGAAUCCUGUCACCUUGA